CCGUGAAAGACCUCUCUCCCCUGCAUCUCUCUCUCUAGACCUCUCUCCCCUGCAUCUCUCUCUCUCUCUCUCUAGACCUCUCUCCCCUGCAUCUCUCUCUCUAGACCUCUCUCCCUGCAUCUCUCGCUCGCUCUCUCUAGACCUCUCUCUCUCUCUAGACCUCUCUACCCUGCAUCUCUCUCUCGAGACCUCUCUCCCCUGCAUCUCUCUCUCUCUCUUUCUCAGCCAUGGUCUACACGUACACCCCCACCUAUUACUCCUCUGUACAGGGCACCAUUACUUCCUUAU
rnacentral:lncRNA from 1 species